rnacentral:rRNA from 1 species
CCUACGGGUGGCAGCAGUGGGGAAUAUUGCACAAUGGGGGAAACCCUGAUGCAGCGACGCCGCGUGAGUGAAGAAGUAUCUCGGUACGUAAAGCUCUAUCAGCAGGGAAGAAAAUAACGGUACCUGACUAAUAAGCCCCGGCUAACUACGUGCCAGAAACCGCCGUAAUACGUAGGGGGCAAGCGUUAUCCGGAUUUACUGGUUGUAAAGUGAGCGGAGACGGCAGCACAAGUCUGGAGUGAAAUCCCGGGGCUUAACCCCGGAACUGCGUUGGAAACUGUGCGGCUGGAGUGCAGGAGGGGUAGGUGGAAUUCCUAGUGUAGCGGUGAAAUGCGUAGAGAUUAGGAGGAACACCGGUGGCGAAGGCGGCUUACUGGACUGUAACUGACGUUGAGGCUCGAAAGCGUGGGGAGCAAACAGGAUUAGAUACCCGUGUAGUC